UCCCUGAUGGUCUAGUGGUCAGGAUUCGGCGCUCUCACCGCCACGGCCAGGGUUCGAUUCCUGGUCAGGGAA
rnacentral:tRNA from 1 species